rnacentral:lncRNA from 1 species
AUAAGGCUAUGUACAAAUCCAUACUGAGAGAUGGGUCUGAGAAGGCUCUAGGGUAUACAGCAGGUGGGACAGGGGAUAUGGAUUUAAGAUUCCUUUCAACUGUUAUCCCAGACAUACACUUAAAUACAAUGGAGGUGAUACAUCUAUCCUAGCUAUUGCCAUGUAUCUCAUGUUUACUUCUGGUAUGACUGUAGUGAUGCUCUGUGGAUAUGCCCUUCUGGAGCCCUUCCUAGAAGGGACCCACUGAUUUCCUGCUACAAGAGCUGCUGGGAUUUGAGUUGUCCUUACUAUAUUAGGAUCCAUUCUAUUGAAGCUCCAGGUUCUCACAUCCCAUGAGUGUUUACUUCUAUGAAUAGAACUGGGCCAGUUAAUGAGUGGGGCUUUUGCAUAUUGUAUUUAGGACCCUAAAGUGGCUCCAAGAUUCGGACUCACUCCAAAUACAGAACAAAUUUAACAUAUUUACAGACAUACAUGUCUUCAUGCUCAGAAUGGGUAGACAACAACAGUACUUUAGCUUCCAGUGAAUGUAAAUGGGUAACUGCUUCUGUAAGACAGCUGCCAUACGGACACCGGGAUUUCAAAGGUCCCUCACCUUUCCCCAGAACUAUUAAAAAAAAGGCAGAGAAUGGAACUGAAGAGGUUACCACUGUUCAGAUAAUUUUGCAACAGAAGUCCUAAUUUUUAUCUUGCAGGAGGAUUUAACGACUACGAUCUUGUUGAUGGGAAGCCUUUACCACCACACAUGGCUGGAGAAGGAGGGCAUAAUUUCAAUCAUGGUGGAAACACGGAUUCAGGAUUAAUAGCUGGAGUUACAUCUCCUAUAAUUUCUGCCUUAGUGAUAUUAGUUGUUGGAUCAAUAGCGGCCUACACAGCUUACAAGAACAACAAGCUUUGUUUCAAACCACGUGGUAAGACAAAAUCGGUCAUUUUCUGUGUUGAAGUAGAUGGUAAUUUAAAAUAAAGAAAUAGAUCUGUGGGGGCAGAAAGAAGCCAAUUGUGGCAGCAUUUGAAAAUCUCCUCCAAACAUUCUCUAGUCUGUAUGUGAUCUUGGGAAUUAAUAUUCUCAGUCAAUAUAGGAAGCCAUGAUGUACCCAAAGGACAGAUAUACCAAUGUGCCCUCUAGUCAGGGUUCCAAUUUCAGCUAAUUGCUUCCUAUCCCGGCCUUGUCUGCAUCUGUAGUGUGCCUGCAUUCAAGGGAUAUGACAGUCACUUUUUUCCCCAUGUCUAUAGAUAAGCUGUAACAAAAGCAUCAUGUCAGACCCACCUGCCCUCUGAAAAGGGGAGGGAGACAGAGGAAAGGGAAAGGCUGCCCAUAGUUCUGUAGUGGUAUGAGGUUCCCACCUCAUGCCUCGAAGGGACUGGAGAAGAAUGAGCACAGAAAGCAGCUGACGUAGAAGCACUGGUAAAGGAUAUCCAUAGCAGAAAUGAUUAAUGUUCAAUCUUCCUUCCUUUAGCUGGGGCCACAGUGUAAACAGCUGAAAUGAAAACUGUCUGCUGAUGACACACUGCUUUGGUUGGUGAUGUUCUGCCCACGGACCUGACAUUUGUUUUCAGCUUCACAAUUCCGAGCAAAAAACUCUUCUUCUGAUGAAUGUUGUGUGGAGAUGCUGCAAUUCCAUUUCCAUUUACACGAUGUUACUUUUAAACCUUGAGAUUUACAUCAUCAAAGAUUCACUUAAAAUGUCCAGAGUAGGUAUUGCACUAUCAUAAACACUGGAUAAGUAUUUUAAUUCAGGAACUGUUUUAAAUGCAGAAUUCAAGCUUAAUACGUGCUACAAAUUAAAGUAUUUUGGUUUAUGAGUGUUUCAGUCACUGAAGAUUGUUUUUUUUUUUUCCUGUUUUCUAAAUUGGUCAAAAUAAUUAAUCAUUCCAAUAGAACAGGAAUAAGAGUAAUGCCAUUUCCAUUCACACAUUUGGCAUAUUUCUGUAUUGUCUGUGAAUGAAUAAGUCAUAUGAAUGAUUAAGCAUUUUAAUGCCUUUAUUUCAUAUCUUAUGUCCAGACUCUUGCGAAGCAGAAAGAGCUACAGAUGGAAAACACGUUCUUAAUUAUAAAAUACAGUAUGAAAUGAACACGUGCACCAAUGAACCACUGGUUAAAAUAAAUAAAACGAGGAGAGCCUAAUUGUAUUUAUU